UAGCAAAGAAGUAAGAGAAGUCGAAUCAUCGUCGCCUAGUCGCUUGUUUCUUUCUCUUUGUUUGUUUGGUUUUUUUUUCUUUGUUGUUGUUAAUUUGUGUUUUGGUUCGAAGGUUUGUGUUUUGGCGAUUUGAGAAAAAGACCCAAAAAAGAAAAAUGCGCAGUUUUUUCCCUCUCCUCGCUGAUGGUUGUCUGCCUAUCGGACCUAUCAACAAAAUCUAGAGAAAUAGAGCAAUAUCCUUA
rnacentral:ribozyme from 12 species